UGGGGAAUUUUUCCGCAAUGGGCGAAAGCCUGACGGAGCAAUGCCGCGUGGAGGUGGAAGGCCUACGGGUCGUCAACUUCUUUUUCUCGGAGAAGAAACAAUGACGGUAUCUGAGGAAUAAGCAUCGGCUAACUCUGUGCCAG
rnacentral:rRNA from 1 species